GGUUGAUUUGACAGAGGGAAGAUAUUUGUUAUCUGGAGCAUUUGAUGCAUCACUUACUGUCUAUGAUAUCCAACGUGCAAGAGACUAUGAGGGAGGUGGUCUGAUUGCUAAGCAUAAGCCCAUACUUCAUGUCGAUAAGCAGCAUCAAAAUGGUCUCAAAUAUGCCAUAUCCAUAACCAUAUGGUAUCCAAAUGAUACAGGUCUUUUUGUCACAAGCUCAUUUAAUCACCACAUCAAUGUUUGGGAUACCAACACCUCACAGGUGCUGAUGGAUUUUAAGAUGCUAGGAAAGGUUUACAAGACAGCUAUGUCUUCAUUAGGAAUAUGAUGAAUCAAACAUGGGAUAAGAUUAGGGAAGUAACUGAUGGGCCUGAUGAUGGCAAUGGCAUGAAGCGCCCCGUUUUUGAUGGAGUACAAUAUGAUUAUGGUGAGCCUUUUGACUUUUGACUUUAUUUCCUAUGCUUCUUUUUUUAUUCAUUUAUACUAAUACCACAAAAACUUGUAAAUCAGAGUUUGACGUG